rnacentral:rRNA from 1 species
GACGAACGCUGGCGGCGUGCCUAAUACAUGCAAGUUGAGCGAUGAAGAUUGGUGCUUGCACCAAUUUGAAGAGCAGCGAACGGGUGAGUAACGCGUGGGGAAUCUGCCUUUGAGCGGGGGACAACAUUUGGAAACGAAUGCUAAUACCGCAUAACAACUUUAAACAUAAGUUUUAAGUUUGAAAGAUGCAAUUGCAUCACUCAAAGAUGAUCCCGCGUUGUAUUAGCUAGUUGGUGAGGUAAAGGCUCACCAAGGCGAUGAUACAUAGCCGACCUGAGAGGGUGAUCGGCCACAGUGGGACUGAGACACGGCCCAAACUCCUACGGGAGGCAGCAGUAGGGAAUCUUCGGCAAUGGACGAAAGUCUGACCGAGCAACGCCGCGCGAGUGAAGAAGGUUUUCGGAUCGUAAAACUCUGUUGGUAGAGAAGAACGUUGGUGAGAGUGGAAAGCUCAUCAAGUGACGGUAACUACCCAGAAAGGGACGGCUAACUACGUG